rnacentral:rRNA from 1 species
AGAGUUUGAUCAUGGCUCAGAUUGAACGCUGGCGGCACGCUUAACACAUGCAAGUCGAACGGCAGCAUAAAUUAACUUCGGUUGGUUUGAUGGCGAGUGGCGAACGGGUGAGUAACGCGUAGGAAUAUGCCUUAAAGAGGGGGAUAACUCGGGGAAACUCGAGCUAAUACCGCGUAAGCUCUACGGAGUAAAGCAUGGGACCAUUUGGCCAUGCGCUUUAAGAAUAGCCUGCGUCCGAUUAGCUAGUUGGUGAGGUAAAGGCUUACCAAGGCGAUGAUCGGUAGCUGGUCUGAGAGGAUGGACAGCCACACUGGGACUGAGACACGGCCCAGACUCCUACGGGAGGCAGCAGUGGGGAAUAUUGGACAAUGGGGGCAACCCUGAUCCAGCGAUGCCGCGUGUGUGAAGAAGGCCUGAGGGUUGUAAAGCACUUUUAGUGGGGAGGAAAGGUAUUGGGUUAAGAGCUAGAUACUGUGACGUUACCCACCAUAAACAGCACCGGCUAACUCCGUGCCAGCAGCCGCGGUAAUACGGGGGGUGCAAGCGUUAAUCGGAGUUAUUGGGCGUAAAGGGUACGUA